GUGAGGGGAAACAAAAGGCUGCCAAAGAAGGUCAUAUAUCAGCAACCUCAAGAUGAUUUAGCAACUGAACCAGUCUCUGAAGAGCCCUUUGUGUGAGACAAGCUGACUUCUCCAGGCCAACACCAAAGGGAGAUGAAGGUGCUGCUGAGCCUGACCCUGGUGCUGACAUGGCUGGAGUGGUGCAGUGGGGCUGCCGGGGUGUUCAUGCAGCCUCAGCUCCGAGCUAGGGCUGGGGACUCCGUGCUGCUGCAGUGCCUCUUCAUAGACCCCGACAGCAAGGGAUGGACCCUGCACAAAGUGGACUGGCUGCACAAGGCAGGAGAUGGCACACAGGAGGAGAUGGUGUUUUAUUACUACAGCAACCACGGCGUCCCCGUGGGCCGCUUCAAGAACCGGGCUCAGUGGCAGGG
rnacentral:lncRNA from 1 species